rnacentral:rRNA from 1 species
UGAACGCUGGCGGCAGGCCUAACACAUGCAAGUCGAGCGGUAACAGGGAGUAGCUUGCUACUCCGCUGACGAGCGGCGGACGGGUGAGUAAUGUCUGGGGAUCUGCCUGAUGGAGGGGGAUAACUACUGGAAACGGUAGCUAAUACCGCAUAACGUCGCAAGACCAAAGAGGGGGACCUUCGGGCCUCUUGCCAUCGGAUGAACCCAGAUGGGAUUAGCUAGUAGGUGGGGUAAUGGCUCACCUAGGCGACGAUCCCUAGCUGGUCUGAGAGGAUGACCAGCCACACUGGAACUGAGACACGGUCCAGACUCCUACGGGAGGCAGCAGUGGGGAAUAUUGCACAAUGGGCGCAAGCCUGAUGCAGCCAUGCCGCGUGUGUGAAGAAGGCCUUCGGGUUGUAAAGCACUUUCAGCGAGGAGGAAGGCAUUAAGGUUAAUAACCUUGGUGAUUGACGUUACUCGCAGAAGAAGCACCGGCUAACUCCGUGCCAGCAGCCGCGGUAAUACGGAGGGUGCAAGCGUUAAUCGGAAUUACUGGGCGUAAAGCGCACGCAGGCGGUUUGUUAAGUCGGAUGUGAAAUCCCCGGGCUCAACCUGGGAACUGCAUUCGAAACUGGCAAGCUUGAGUCUUGUAGAGGGGGGUAGAAUUCCAGGUGUAGCGGUGAAAUGCGUAGAGAUCUGGAGGAAUACCGGUGGCGAAGGCGGCCCCCUGGACAAAGACUGACG